rnacentral:rRNA from 1 species
UACGUAGGGGGCAAGCGUUGUCCGGAAUCAUUGGGCGUAAAGCGCGUGUAGGCGGCUUGGUAAGUCCGCUCUGAAAGCCCGGGGCUCAACCCCGGGAGGCGGGUGGAUACUGUCAAGCUCGAGUCCGGAAGAGGCGAGUGGAAUUCCUGGUGUAGCGGUGAAAUGCGCAGAUAUCAGGGAGGAACACCAUAGCGAAGGCAGCUCGCUGGAACGUAACUGACGCUAAGGCGCGAAAGCGUGGGGAGCGAACAGGA